rnacentral:lncRNA from 1 species
CGGUAAUAGUUGUGCAACUGUUGACUGAUGGAAGCAUAAUGAAACUUACAAAUACCGAUAUUAAAUGUAGACGAUUCAGAAUUUUGUAAAGAUUCAAUUAUAUUUUAGUACUUUAUAUUUUUUUGUAAGAUUUGACAUAAUUCCCGAACCAUUCGCCCACCCAAGAGAAGUUCUGUAAAACAGGAAGUCUAACAUUAGUAUUGAUUGUUC